AGAAACACAUAUAAUUGCGUCGGUCGCCUUGGAAUCCAUCCCAACAGGGGGUGGUUGGGGUCAAUUUCGUGGAAUAUCUCAUAGAUUACGUCGGGGUAAUAAGGAAUAUCCUUAUCCAGCCGACAAAACAUCCACUCGACUCUGUUCAUAGUAUCUUCAGAAACCUCGGGAAUAGAGUCGCCGGUAAUUUCAGACAAAAGUUCAGAUACCACCAGAUAAGCGUGGGAAGAAAACGUAUAAUCUUCGAAUCAGAGCGAAAACCGUUUCUUACUGAAGAACGUCUGAUUAACAAACCUCUAAGAAUAUUUCCAAAAUCGUACAUUGCAACACCUCAUUUCUAUGAGUCCGAGGGAGAUGCUUCUUUGUAACUUUCUUUGCAAUUGAAGCGAAAAUGUUACUGAUGCCGAAAAUACUACUAAUGCCGAGGGAGAUCGUGUAUACCCCUGUGUAGGCUCGGCAGUGGUUCGUACACUAGCGUUGGUGCUGCAUCUGUCAUCGCUGUGUAAACACACUGCCAUUCCACCUUUCAAAAUAAUUGGAUUAAGCGAGCAGACGAGAGAACAAU